rnacentral:tRNA from 1 species
ACUAAUAUGGCAGAGAAGUGCAAUGAACUUAAGAUUCAUAAAUAAAGUUUAUCUUUUUUUAGUA